AGGACGAACGCUGGCGGCGUGCUUAACACAUGCAAGUCGAGCAGAAAGGCCCUUCGGGGUACUCGAGCGGCGAACGGGUGAGUAACACGUGAGUAACCUGCCCCUAGCUCUGGGAUAGCUCCGGGAAACCGGGAUUAAUACCAGAUACGACCACUUUAGACAUCUGUCGUGGUGGAAAGGAUUCCGGCUAGGGAUGGGCUCGCGGCCUAUCAGCUUGUUGGUGGGGUAACGCCUACCAAGGCGACGACGGGUA
rnacentral:rRNA from 1 species